ensembl:lncRNA novel transcript
UGAGCUGGGGGUCUGGGAGGAGGUGUGAGCUGGGGGUCUGGGAGGAGGUGUGAGCUGGGGGUCUGGCAGGAGGUGGGAGCUGGGGGUCUGGGAGGAGGUGUGAGCUGGGGGUCUGGGAGGAGGUGGGAGCUGGGGGUCUGGGAGGAGAUGGGAGCUGGGGGUCAGGAGGAGGAGGUGUGAGCUGGGGGUCUGGGGAGGACGUGGGAGCUGGGGGUCUGGGCAGAGGAGGGUCACAGAAGCAGGACAUGACUUGGGACAGGGCAGAGGCUUGUGCAGGCACAGGGCUGGGAGCCGGGCCACAUUCCCUCCUUGGUGUGGGGUGAGGGGCACCCCAGCUUGGGGACAGGGGCGCUGGCACUCAGGCAGCCCCGACGUUGUCCUGGGUUCACUGUGCUGGGGCGGGGGCUCCUACUGGGGCUCUGUGGUCCCACAGCCAAAGCCCCGCUUUCCUAAUCACACGUUGGGGCUUCGGCAGGAACCUCAGCAGGACCUCGGGGGGACCUCGGCAGGAACCUCGGUGGGGACCUCGGUGGGGAGCUUGGCGGGGACCUCGGGGGGAACCUCGGGGGGGGACCUCGGGGGGAACCUCGGGGGGAACCUCGGCGGGGACCUCGGUGGGGACCUCGGGCAGAACUUCGGGGAGAACCUCGGCGGGAACCUUGGCGGGGACCCUGGCGGGAACCUCGGGGGGAACCUUGAGGGGGGAUCCUCGGCGGGGAGCCUCGGCGGGAACCUCGGGGGGGAUCCUCUGGGGGGAACCUCAGAGCCGAACCUUGGGGGGCCCUCAGGGGGGAACUUCGGGGGGGACCUCGGCGUGAACCUCAGCGGGGCCAGGCUUGUGGCAACUUGGGCCUGGCUGUUCUCUUGGAAGGACGUUUCCAGCCUCUGGGCCCCAGAAGACCCUGGCACGUCCACUGCCCUCACUGGAAUGGGACCACCUCCACCUCCCGGGGCCCCAAGGCCCGGGUCCCGGGCACAGGUCGCCUCUUUCCUCCUCAA